CGACAAUCAACUAAUGUAACUGGUGUACGUCAGAUUAUGCUCUAUAUAGCCGUUGUGUGUUCGAUUGUCUGCUCCCGUGUAAGACACUGAGCAUUUGUGUCUCAUCCUCACAUCGUAAAUUGAAGUACAGCAUAUCAAGCAUGUUCAGAGUUGUGAUAGCCAUCACAUUAGCGGUGUUGAUGAUGGUGAUGGGCGUUCAGGUGUUGGCAUGUAUAGAGACAGGUCAGGAAUGCUCCAAAUCUUCAUCAAGGUGCUGUAAUCAGAAUGACAAGUGCCAGGUGAAUUCGAGCGUUAUACACUUCUCUAGAGAUGUGACAGGCAUCUGUUUUGAUGUGAGCCCCUAUCUAUUGCAACCAGGCAAUUUGAGAAGCGAUGAAACCGCGUGCUCUGACAGUAUCGAGUGCAUCAGUAAAUGUUGCCAGAAGUUGACGGGUGCGGGAAUGGUAAUGAUAGAAUGUGGCAGUCAAAUUGGAAUUUUAUGUUACACAUCUAUAGCAUACCAACGAGCUUAAAUAAGCAUAAAAAUGGAACGAAACUUUCAAUUUCAGAACAAGUUAUAUCAACAGAAUUAGACGCCGGCAAAAAUUAUCAUGUUUAAGUGUAGCAGAAAAUUUUAUUGUUGUUCUUCAUUGUACCACCAAAAGAACAAUAAAACAACACACACACACACAACCGUUUUAUUUUAAAUUUCUGAUAUUUCUCCUACAUUGCUCAACAAGAGACAAAUCUCUUGCAAUAUGAAUAAUUUAACUAUUAAAUAGAGUGAAUUAAAAUGUCUGAUCUUACACAUAGCUAAUACAAUCUCAUAUAUCUGAAAUACUAGCAUUAAAGGCAUUUGUUCCUGG